rnacentral:ncRNA from 1 species
CGAGGUCACAUGGAGUAACCGUUUCGGUGAAAGACGACCUUCGCAAAAGGAGAUAUGCUUCCCUUGGUGAAAGCCCAUAAAACUGCCCAUCGACGACUUUUACACGGACGCUGCUUGCAUGGCGGGGGAUUGCGCUGACCUCGUUUCAUGUGUAAGGUCAAUGUAGUUUGGACGCGCACCUACAACUUAACUAUGCGGAGGGCGAAUAAUUUUUAUGACAAGC